UACUUCCACCAAAGUUGAAUUUAUCUUCACUCACCGAAAGAUCGGGCACUCCGACUCUAUCAAGUGGUAUCAGUUUUCCAGGUUGCUCGGUGAGUUUAUCGAGUGUUUUUCCCUUCCUACAGUUCAAAAAACCUAACAAAAAUUUAUUUUCAGGUUAGAUCCUUGUCCCACCAACCCUUUUGAGCCUUGCACCUUCUUUCAAUAAUUUGCGUCCUUGAAUUUGUGCGCUUUCCGAAUCAAUUGUUGCUAGUUACUUUGUG
rnacentral:lncRNA from 1 species